CGUGUAGGCGGCCAAGUAAGUCUUACGUGAAAUCCUGAGGCUCAACCUCAGGCCUGCGCGGGAUACUGCUUGGCUAGAGUCCGGAAGAGGAGAGUGGAAUUCCUGGUGUAGCGGUGGAAUGCGCAGAUAUCAGGAGGAACAUCCGUGGCGAAGGCGGCUCUCUGGGACGGUACUGACGCUGAGACGCGAAAGCGUGGGAGCGAACA
rnacentral:rRNA from 1 species